GUCGCUAUGGCUUGGUGGUUGAGCAUACGAUUGCAAUCCAACAGUAUCGUGAGGUCCCGUGUUCGAACCACGGUAUCGGAUG